GACGAACGCUGGCGGCGUGCUUAACACAUGCAAGUCGAACGGAAAGGCCCUGCUUUUGUGGGGUGCUCGAGUGGCGAACGGGUGAGUAACACGUGAGUAACCUGCUCUUGACUUUGGGAUAACUUCGGGAAACUGGGGCUAAUACCGGAUAGGAGCUCCUGCUGCAUGGUGGGGGUUGGAAAGUUUCGGCGGUUGGGGAUGGACUCGCGGCUUAUCAGCUUGUUGGUGGGGUAGUGGCUUACCAAGGCUUUGACGGGUAGCCGGCCUGAGAGGGUGACCGGCCACAUUGGGACUAAGAUACGGCCCAGACUGCUACGGGAGGCAGCAGUGGGGAAUAUUGCACAAUGGGCGGAAGCCUGAUACGGCGACGCCGCGUGCGGGAUGACGGCCUUCGGGUUGUAAACCGCUUUCGCCUGUGACGAAGCGUGAGUGACGGUAAUGGGUAAAGAAGCACCGGCUAACUACGUG
rnacentral:rRNA from 1 species